ACGCUCGACACCUACGGGAGGAGCAGUGGGGAAUAUUGCACAAUGGGGGAAACCCUGAUGCAGCAACGCCGCGUGAAGGAAGGCGGUUUUCGGAUUGUAAACUUCUGUUCUUAGUGAAGAUAGUGACGGUAGCUAAGGAGCAAGCCACGGCUAACUACGUGCAAGCAGCCGCGGUAAUCUGAGCGGGCUGGCAAGGC
rnacentral:rRNA from 1 species